rnacentral:lncRNA from 1 species
UCUCACACCAUCUUGCUGGCACAGCCUACCAAAAAGCCAGAAGACAGAACUGAGGCUGACUAUGAAUCUUUGAACAAAUGCAUGGACGGCAUUUGUAAAAUAAAUGAAGAAUAUCUGAAGAGAAUGAUCCCAACAGCCCCUCUGUCACACUGAUAUCAUCAGUUGUUUGAUUUUAUGGACGAUCUGGCAGACCUCAGCUGCCUGGUUUAGCGAGCUAAUACCCAGACAUGCCAGCCUUACAACAAAGAUAGGAUUAAAGAGUUCUAUAUGCUCCUGAGUCAGCAGUCCCAACAGACUAG